GGAAUCUUCGGCAAUGGGCGCAAGCCUGACCGAGCCAUGCCGCGUGAGCGAUGAAGGCCUUAGGGUUGUAAAGCUCUUUCGCCAGGGAAGAUAAUGACGGUACCUUGUAAAGAAACCCCGGCUCACUCCGUUCCAGCAGCCGCGGUAAUACGGAGGGGGUUAGCGUUGUUCGGAAUUACUGGGCGUAAAGCGCGCGUAGGCGGAUAUUUAAGUCAGAGGUGAAAUCCCACGGCUCAACCGUGGAACUGCCUUUGAUACUGGAUGUCUUGAGUUCGAGAGAGGUGAGUGGAAUUCCGAGUGUAGAGGUGAAAUUCGUAGGUAUUCGGAGGAACACCAGUGGCGAAGGCGGCUCACUGGCUCGAUACUGACGCUGAGGUGCGAAAGCGUGGGGAGCAAA
rnacentral:rRNA from 1 species